rnacentral:rRNA from 1 species
UUGCGAAAGCGUCGCACUGGACUGUAACAGACCGUGAGGCACCAAGAUGUGGAGGGCAAACAGGAGUUGGAAACAGGGUAAUCCACGCUGUAAACGAUGGGGACUAGGAGGCGGGUGUUACCCCCUUCGGUGCCGCAGCUAACGCAUUAAGUACUCCGCCUGGGAAGUACGCUCGCAAGAGUGAAACUCAAAGGAAUUGGCGGGGACCCGCACAAGUAGCGGAGCAUGUGGUUUAAUUCGAAGCAACGCGAAGAACCUUACCUAAGCUUGACAUCCCAAUGACAUCUCCUUAAUCGGAGAGCUCCCUCCGGGGUCAUUGGCGACAGGUUGAGCAUGUUUGUCGUCAGGUCGUCUCUUGAGAUGUUGUGUUAAUGCCCGCACACAGUCCCACCUUUUCCUUUGGUGUCCAUCCUUAAGUUGGCACCUCAAGCA